rnacentral:rRNA from 1 species
GACGAACGCUGGCGCCGUGCUUAACACAUGCAAGUCGAACGGAAAGGCCCUGCUUUUGUGGGGUGCUCGAGUGGCGAACGGGUGAGUAACACGUGAGUAACCUGCCCUUGACUUUGGGAUAACUUCAGGAAACUGGGGCUAAUACCGGAUAGGAGCUCCUGCUGCAUGGUGGGGGUUGGAAAGUUUCGGCGGUUGGGGAUGGACUCGCGGCUUAUCAGCUUGUUGGUGGGGUAGUGGCUUACCAAGGCUUUGACGGGUAGCCGGCCUGAGAGGGUGACCGGCCACAUUGGGACUGAGGUACGGCCCAGACUCCUACGGGAGGCAGCAGUGGGGAAUAUUGCACAAUGGGCGGAAGCCUGAUGCAGCAACGCCGCGUGCGGGAUGACGGCCUUCGGGUUGUAAACCGCUUUCGCCUGUGACGAAGCGUGAGUGACGGUAAUGGGUAAAGAAGCACCGGCUAACUACGUG